rnacentral:rRNA from 1 species
UACGAAGGGGGCUAGCGUUGCUCGGAAUCACUGGGCGUAAAGCGCACGUAGGCGGAUUGCUAAGUCAGGGGUGAAAUCCUGGAGCUCAACUCCAGAACUGCCUUUGAUACUGGCGAUCUCGAGUCCGGGAGAGGUGAGUGGAACUGCGAGUGUAGAGGUGAAAUUCGUAGAUAUUCGCAAGAACACCAGUGGUGAAGGCGGCUCACUGGCCCGGUACUGACGCUGAGGUGCGAAAGCGUGGGGAGCAAACAGG